rnacentral:misc_RNA from 1 species
CUUGUCCUGAGCCAUUUGAUAACCAAAAAUAUGCAAAAUAUAAUGAUCAGAAUUAAGAAAUAAAUACAACAGUUGGUAUUCUAUAUGAGAGUUUCACACACAUUCUUUCUCAACAAGGAAAAAUCUCAUUUUCCUGCUUAUCAAACUGUUCAAUUUGUAUAAUUUCAGAAAACAAAUGCCAAGGGGAAUAUUUUGAAAGAAAAAUUCCUUACAUUUCACAUCUAAUGAUCUAAAUGCUUUCUUUCACAGUUAACAAGGACAACCAUCUAUACCUCAAACCCAUGUAGGAUUUAUGUACAUAAAUUAGAACAUCUCAAGUCCUUAGCCCACUUGUUGGUUAAGGACGCAAGUAUAAUGAGAAUUUUGUUAUCAUAUAUGCAUCACCAAUGCUGCAUUUCACAAGGACAAGGUGGAAAUUAAUCAAGUCACCUUUUUGUUUUCGUGUCUAUGCUUUGAAGCCUUGGUGAUGAUUGUGAUCCACUGCCUAAUGCAGCGGCAGCAGAUUCAACAUGCGUAAGAAGAUAUUCAUAAAUCUUCUUUCUAAGCCUGUCGAUAGUCUCUGAUGAAACAUUGGGUGUUUCUUCUUCAUCCUUGCUUGAACCAAUCUCAUCUAACCAGUCAUUCACACUCUUCAGCUGAGUCAACAUGCCUGCUAUUUGACCAUUAUCUGACAAAGUUGAGGAAUCCACAUCAGCAUCCAAGAACCUCUCCACAAAUCCCAGGAACCAAUCUUGGGACUCCAUCUGCAACAUUUCAGCCAAGUCCACAGCCUCAUCAAGGCCACUUCCUUUGAUCCACUCAGGUGGAGGUUGGGGCGGCAUCUUCUGACUAAUGGCAGAGGUAUCCCCUGCUUUGCGAAAAGCUCCGGUUGCUACUAGCUUGGAGCCAACAGAUGGACGGGUUUUCCCUUGAGUUUUUGCUGAUGCAUUCUUUGAAGAAUUUUCAAGGACUAAUAUGGGUUGAUUACCACUGGAAGUCUUUUGGCCUUGAGUGGAAGCUGAAGUUGUUUCUUUUUUAAAUACAUAAAAGGAUGACAGAUUGGUGGCCAAUGCAGCUUGGACCCAAGUGGCUGCAUGUUUGCGUCUAUCUGAUGUGACCUUUAGCACUUCUUCUGAUGGGUUGUGAUCAGAAUCUGGACAUGAACCAACCGGAAUAAUUUUAGACAGAGAGUCGGCAACCAAGCGAGCAUUGUUCAAGCUUGCAUGGAGGGUCAAGAACUGCUCCACAGCAGGUUGUGGGUUAUCUUCUUUAGCAGAGGAGGUUAGGUCAGAGUAUAUGCUUAGACAUUGAAGUAAGCUCUCUGCAACAGAAGCCUCUUGAAUAGCCUCUAUUGCUGCUGUCUGUGCAGCAUCCCUAAGCUUCAUAACUUCCUUUCCAAGCUUAGCAACAGAAGAGGGUAGUGAACUCCAUGAAAUGCUUCCCUCAGGCAGUUUCCUGCUAUUUAUUGAAAACUUAACCAGGUUUCCUGGAAGUCCAUCAUUAUCUCUUGAUGAUUUUUUUCCAAUAGAUGGUCUUUGCUUAUUUGACUUCUCUUGACCAUCCAAAUUUCCAUUUGCAACAACUUUCUUUGUAGAUACCGGAUUUCUAUUCUCCUCUUUAGAUGAUUUGGCCGAUAGUUGGGUCUUAUUGUCCUCUUUAGAUGUCAAUCUAUUGGUUGACGUGCUUUUUCUAGGAGCCUGCCAAAUAAAUUUGCAUUAGAAGUAGAACCUAGUAGUUUGACUUCAAGAAAAGUUGGGCAACAUCCAACAAAAACUGAACUGGAGAAUCCAGAAAGCCGCAAAAGACAUUCAAGACUUUUAGGAGAAUGAUCAUAACAUGGAGAGAUCACAAUGAUUAAUAUAGAAUAACAACUUAUAGAAUAAAAUCAUGAAUGUCCAAUUAAGAAGAUCGAAAAAUCCAAUGAUUAAUAUAGAAUAAAAUUAGGCUUAACCAAACCAUAGUCCAAAAUUAUGACACAGUUUAUAUGUAAACUGAACAGAUUACUUAGGUGCAUUUCAACCAAAUCACAUUCCACUGAAUGUCAAUGUCAUUAAUGGUUAUACUUACAGAAAUACUCCGACCUUCAGGAUUCGGACUGUGUUUAGAAGCCCUUAAUUUUGAAUUCUCCCUGUGCUUCACCUCCAUAUUCCCUUCCCAACUCUUCCUUAAUGCUUUAGCACCCAUCUCAAUCCCUUGAACUAUAUUCUUGAUAACUGGUACCCUCUUUGCAGUUGGACUUGCCCCGCGAACAGAACUUAACUUUUCCACUACUCCUGACUUAGUAGAUCCCUUAUCUGACCCCUUAAUCCUCGCCUGCUGGUUAACCCCAUUAGCAAAUUUCUCAAAUGAAGUGGGCAGCGAAUAACAACUUGUUGGAGAGGAAGGAAUCGACCUUGAACUUGAAGAUUUCGAUUUUGCCAAAGUGUCCUUCUUCAAAUCCAAAUUCAGUGUAGGUUUUGACAAUUGAGACUUUGUCCUGCUCAGAGAAGAGGUUUUCCUAUCUGAUAAAUCAUCCUUAUUCGCAUUGCCAUUCAGUCUAACCCCCAAUGAUUUCACCUUCUCUCCUAUAUUGCUACUUCCUGAAUACCCUUUCUUAGGUGAGUUCACUUUCUCUAAAUGUUUUAAACCUGAACUUGAAUCAUUAUUAUUAUUGAGAAACCCAAGAGAGUGAGUUGCUACAAUAUCUUCUGGGCUCCCUACACAAGGGUGCCUCCCUGGGACUGGCCUAACACCUCUAAGAAUGGGGACUGGUGAGGCUGAUUCAAGCCUUUCGACAUGAAUAAAUUGACCCAGUUGGAUCUUAUCACUAAGAAUUAGAUCAUCAUGCUCAUCAGCUAAAGACACAUAAGUGGCAUGAGAUGAAUCUGAUACCUUGAGAUAAAACCCUUGGUUAGGAAAUAGCUCACCUCCUGCUAGUGCUGGUACAAUGCUCACCACCUGCAAUAAAGAUGACCUGUGCUCACCAGCAACUUUUAUAUCUGUAUUCAUGUGUUGCAGAAGUUUGAGGAGCACUCCGGGAACAAGAUUGGCCAUUUCUUAAGAGACCUUCAAUUUGCAUGAGCCUGAUAUACCCAGAUGGAGAAGUUGAGUUUGAUAUAUAAAUAGUAGAGAUAAAUGGAUGAAAUAGUAGAAAGGAAAGGUUUUGGUCAAUACCCAGAUUGAAACCAGGAAUCAAAGAUAUGGACUUCAACAGAAGAGAAGGAAAGAAAUGAUUACACUUUAGACCCAGAUGACAAUUUUUUGUAUCCAAAAAAGGGUUUAAUCUCCUAAGAUUCAAAAGAGAGAAGUAGAAAGCUCAAGAUUCAGACUGGAAGAUGCUUAAGCUUAUGAAACUAAUAAUGGUGAUUAAAUUUAAUGAAAAGCGACAAAAAAAAAAAACAGAACAAGCACCAUCUGUUUUGAAUCAAGAAAAUGCAAUAAUCAUAGAGCUUAAGAAAUUUAUAUUAAGAAAAUAAAUUAAUUUUAUAAACACAACCCAGAAAAUAAAUAAAAUGUUUUCAAUAAUAUGGUAGUAAUAAUGGUGUACAGCUUGGACAGGAACAACCAAAUACUCAACAACCCAGUCUAGUCUGGAACUGAUAAUGGUAUUAGACCUUUUAUGCAACAAACAAAAAGACAAAUGUAGAGCAAUUUCAAUGCAAAACCCAAGACUGGAAACCAAGAAAUUUUGGGAAAAAAAAUCAAUUGGGUUUUUAUUGUAGAGCCAAAAGAGAAAGCCAAUCCAAAUGAGUAAGAAAAGGAAACUUUUUUUUAUCAGACAGAGAUAAAGAAAAGAAAGGGAAAACACAAACAAGAAUUUGAGAAAAAUGCUUGCAAUAUGGUAUGAUAUUGGAGCUGAAAACUUGCAGGAAUCAGAGAAAAAGGUAAGGAAAUAAUUGAUGCCAGGCUUAUUUCGUGAUAGAUAUUACACAAUCCAUAGUGGAAGAGAGAGAAAGUUUGUCAGUCACUGACACAGACCCCUAGAUCAAACAUGCAAGAAUUUUAAUGAGUUAAAUAAAAAAGAAAGAAAAAAAAA